AUUCAACUGUCGAGUCCCAAAUAGGACAGGACGCGCGUCUUGGAU
rnacentral:hammerhead_ribozyme from 1 species